rnacentral:rRNA from 1 species
UACAGAGGUCCCAAGCGUUGUUCGGAUUUAUUGGGCGUAAAGGGUGCGUAGGCGGCGGAGUAAGUUGGGUGUGAAAUCCCGGGGCUCAACCUCGGAAUGGCAUUCAAUACUGCUUCGCUAGAGUACUGGAGAGGAGGCUGGAAUUUACGGUGUAGCAGUGAAAUGCGUAGAUAUCGUAAGGAAGGCCGGUGGCGAAAGCGAGCCUCUGGACAGUUACUGACGCUGAUGCACGAAGGCCAGGGGAGCAAACGGG